AUAGGUGUUAGGUCCGCGGGUGAUCCGUACUCCGAGAGACUAGAUGUGUCGAGAGACAUUGGAUUGGCUGGGACAGAUAGACUCCGCCAAGAACCCGGAGAUUGACAGACAGUCAUACAGAACCUAUGACCUGGGAUUGGCCGACAGGCUGACGAGUGUGCGUUGCAAACGUUUCGGAUCUUGAACCCGGCUAGUCUUAAAGCCCUUCUGCGUGUCUGUCAGCAUCGAUUCUCAGAGUGACACGCUUGUGAUGAGCAUCCGCAUUGACUCAUGUUGUUACUCUAGCGGUGUCUUACAGUCUCUAAGACUAGUGAUUACCAUCAGUUCGAUGAUACAUGAAUGCAGUCUCAUAGCUAGCCUGUGACUAUAAACGCUUAUCGGCAUGUCCGAGCGCACGAAGCCACUUCUGUCAGAGCAAUGAGAGGUGCAGUGAAGCCAUAGCCACCGAAUAUACUACGCACAUCUACGCAAUAACGUCCUUUUAUCUGUAAACAGCAUUAGUGUGGACCUCUAGACGGAAAACAGGGUACAGGAAGGUUGGAACAGCGGCGAGGGACCUGCAGAAUUGAUGCGCCGGGGAUGUGCGGCCUUUCCUGCGAAAGCCAUCAGGGAGCCGUCUUAGGUGGCGACAUGAUAUUAAUCCGACGAGUUCCACUUACGGCGCAGCCAUCGUGUGUACAUAGCCACUUUCUGUGUUUUCGAGAGACUCGGGCACAUGGCCGUUUCCCCAUCUCCCCUCCCCUUUUCCACUCCACCACACCUUAACUCGCACAUCCACCGUGACGGCGCCAACACAAGCACCAGCUGUUCUCUGUCCCAUUGGGUUUUACAUACUCUUGUGUGUGAUCAGUGCUUGGGUUCUCACACGCAUACAUCAUGGACCUCUGUCACAACCGCUACAGGCCCUCCUGUGCAUGGAAUAUCACUCGCCUCAACAAGACCUCGUACACGAGCUGCAGUGGCAGUAGCAGCAGGAUAGGGUGGUAUUAUCCGUAUUCGCUUCCUGGGGGCUGUUGUGGGAACGAUUCAGAUGAGGCGCACUCUCGGAAGGUGGGGCCGACGUCCAGCCGGAAAUGGAGGUAAGAUGGAAGGAAGGGUUGGGGCUCUUAUGAGCUUUAUGUGGGGCGACAAAAAGCUGUCGUACUCCGAUAGGGAUAUCGUAGUACGGCAAGUGUUUUUAUGUAUGCAGGUGGUGGUGGGGCACGUCUGUGCCAGGGUUUUUUUUUGUGGAUUCGUUACCCGUUCCCCUCUUUGUUGUUCCUGAUGCUAUGGAUGUUGGCUGGGGCUGGUUGGGGGAGGGGGGCGGGUAUGUUUCGCCGCCGUCAUUGCCGUGCCUGCCCUAAUUGUCAUGCUCCCAUACACGUGCUGCAGGUGCAGCAGGCCUCGGAAGAUGGGGCCGACGCCCAGGCGGGAAUGGUUUCUUCGCUUUCCUUAUAGCAAGAUGCUAUGUCAGCUCAGUGUUCAU
rnacentral:lncRNA from 1 species